CUGCCCCCUCCGCCCCACAUAACGAUUCGGGGUGAUGCCCGAAUCCUCACUGCUAAUGUGAGAUGAAUUUUUGAGCAGGUAAAGGUUACCCCUAAGGUGACAAGCGGGAUGCCUGGGGGUUGCGAUCUGCCCG